GGAUGGGUGGCAGAGCGGUUGAUUGCAACGGUCUUGAAAACCGUCGUACCGAAAGGUACCGGGGGUUCGAAUCCCUCCCCAUCCG
rnacentral:tRNA from 1 species